UGCGGUGGGUACGGGCAGACUAGAGUGAUGUAGGGGAGACUGGAAUUCCUGGUGUAGCGGUGAAAUGCGCAGAUAUCAGGAGGAACACCGAUGGCGAAGGCAGGUCUCUGGGCAUUAACUGACGCUGAGGAGCGAAAGCAUGGGGAGCGAACAGGAUUAGAUACCCUGGUAGUCCAUGCCGUAAACGUUGGGCACUAGGUGUGGGGGACAUUCCACGUUUUCCGCGCCGUAGCUAACGCAUUAAGUGCCCCGCCUGGGGAGUACGGCCGCAAGGCUAAAACUCAAAGGAAUUGACGGGGGCCCGCACAAGCGGCGGAGCAUGCGGAUUAAUUCGAUGCAACGCGAAGAACCUUACCAAGGCUUGACAUGGACUGGAUCGCCGCAGAAAUGUGGUUUCCCCUUUGGGGCCGGUUCACAGGUGGUGCAUGGUUGUCGUCAGCUCGUGUCGUGAGAUGUUGGGUUAAGUCCCGCAACGAGCGCAACCCUCGUUCUAUGUUGCCAGCGCGUUAUGGCGGGGACUCAUAGGAGACUGCCGGGGUCAACUCGGAGGAAGGUGGGGACGACGUCAAAUCAUCAUGCCCCUUAUGUCUUGGGCUUCACGCAUGCUACAAUGGCCGGUACAAAGGGUUGCGAUACUGUGAGGUGGAGCUAAUCCCAAAAAGCCGGUCUCAGUUCGGAUUGGGGUCUGCAACUCGACCCCAUGAAGUCGGAGUCGCUAGUAAUCGCAGAUCAGCAACGCUGCGGUGAAUACGUUCCCGGGCCUUGUACACACCGCCCGUCAAGUCACGAAAGUUGGUAAC
rnacentral:rRNA from 1 species